UACGAAGGGGGCUAGCGUUGCUCGGAAUUACUGGGCGUAAAGCGCACGUAGGCGGAUUGUUAAGUCGGGGGUGAAAUCCUGGAGCUCAACUCCAGAACUGCCUUCGAUACUGGCGAUCUCGAGUUCGGGAGAGGUGAGUGGAACUGCGAGUGUAGAGGUGAAAUUCGUAGAUAUUCGCAAGAACACCAGUGGCGAAGGCGACUUCCUGGCCUGUUCUUGACGCUGAGGCGCGAAAGCUAGGGGAGCAAACGGG
rnacentral:rRNA from 1 species